ACGGGAGGCAGCAGUGGGGAAUAUUGGGCAAUGGGCGCAAGCCUGACCCAGCAACGCCGCGUGAGUGAAGAAGGUUUUCGGAUUGUAAAGCUCUAUCCUCGGGGACGAAGGAAGUGACGGUACCCGAGAAGGAAGCCCCGGCUAACUACGUGCCAGCAGCCGCGGUAAUACGUAGGGGGCAAGCGUUGUCCGGAAUGACUGGGCGUAAAGGGCGUGUAGGCGGCUUUUUAAGUCUGAAGUGAAAGUCCUGCUUUCAAGGUGGGAAUUGCUUUGGAGACUGGAAGGCUUGAGUGCGGAAGAGGUAAGUGGAAUUCCCAGUGUAGCGGCGAAAUGCGUAGAGAUUGGGAGGAACACCAGUGGCGAAGGCGACUUACUGGGCCGUAACUGACGCUGAGGCGCGAAAGCGUGGGUAGCAAACAGGAUUAGAUACCCUGGUA
rnacentral:rRNA from 1 species